AUUAAGUUUUGGUUAAUCGUUGUUAAGGUUGUUUAGUUUAAUUGCUUUUGUUUUUCUUGUAUUUUGUUUUUCUUGUAUUUUGUUUUCGUUGGACUGCUACCAAGGGUAUUGUGUUUUUCCAGCUCUCUCAAGCUUCUUUUUUUUCCCAAUCCUUGUUCUUCUUACAUUAUUUUUCUUGUAUUAUGUUGUUUUUCUUCUAAGGUUGGAUCUUCUAUUUUCAGAUUUACGAAAUGAGUUAUGUAAAAUGAUACCACAACUUUAGAUUGAACACUGAUGAGGUAUUUGAUCAUAUUGUCUCAAACCAUUGAGACUUAAAUAUUGCAUAUGAUAUACAGUCCAGAAGGUUCUUGCAAAACUACCUCCGGAAAUUGCAAGAAAAUAUUUUUCCUAAGCUUGUGGAUUGCCUAUUCCUCUUCAAAUCUUUCAUUUACAUGCCAUGUUUGCCUGAUAAGACACAGGCAGAUUUGUCAAGAAAUGCAGCAAAAAAAAGAUUCUUCCAUGGUUUGUUUGUCAGGUUACGUUUUUUCAUAG